UCUAAGGAUGAAUAAAAGUAAAAUUUUAUUCUAAAUAAUAUACAGGUAAUGUUGACCGUCCUCAUUUCUCUUCUUAAAGUAGUGUUUCUCUUGCAUGGGGGCCGGUAGCUCAGUUGGUUAGAGCACACCCUUGAUAAGGGUGGGGUCGAAAGUUCGAGUCUUUCUCGGCCCACCAAAUUUAAGAUCAUGGGGGAUUAGCUCAGCUGGGAGAGCGCCUGAUUUGCAUUCAGGAGGUCAGCGGUUCGAUCCCGCUAUCCUCCACCAAAACACUUAGUUGUAUAAAAUCGUAAAAAAAAUAAUAAUUAAUAUCAAUAUCUAUAUCCGAACAUUAGAAAUGUUAUUAGCUAAUGUUCAAAAAUAAAAAUUUGAUUCAACACAGAAUUUUUUUCUGUGCAUAAAU
rnacentral:tRNA from 1 species